rnacentral:rRNA from 1 species
UUCGGUUUUUAUCUUAGUGGCGGACGGGUGAGUAACACGUGAGCAACCUGCCUCUGAGAGAGGGAUAACUUCUGGAAACGGAUGGUAAUACCUCAUAAUAUAGCGGUACCGCAUGAUACUGCUAUCAAAGAUUUAUCGCUCAGAGAUGGGCUCGCGUCUGAUUAGCUAGAUGGUGAGGUAACGGCUCACCAUGGCGACGAUCAGUAGCCGGACUGAGAGGUUGAACGGCCACAUUGGGACAGAGACACGGCCCAGACUCCUACGGGAGGCAGCAGUGGGGAAUAUUGCACAAUGGGCGCAAGCCUGAUGCAGCGAUGCCGCGUGGAGGAAGAAGGUUUUCGGAUUGUAAACUCCUGUCUUAAGGGACGAUAAUGACGGUACCUUAGGAGGAAGCUCCGGCUAACUACGUGCCAGCAGCCGCGGUAAUACGUAGGGAGCGAGCGUUGUCCGGAAUUACUGGGUGUAAAGGGAGCGUAGGCGGGAUUGCAAGUCAGAUGUGAAAACUAUGGGCUUAACCCAUAGACUGCAUUUGAAACUGUAGUUCUUGAGUGAAGUAGAGGUAAGCGGAAUUCCUAGUGUAGCGGUGAAAUGCGUAGAUAUUAGGAGGAACAUCGGUGGCGAAGGCGGCUUACUGGGCUUUUACUGACGCUGAGGCUCGAAAGCGUGGGGAGCAAACAGGAUUAGAUACCCUGGUAGUCCACGCUGUAAACGAUGAUUACUAGGUGUGGGGGGACUGACCCCUUCCGUGCCGCAGUUAACACAAUAAGUAAUCCACCUGGGGAGUACGGCCGCAGUGAAUCAAACUCAAGAGUGACACGUCGAUAGGACGAUCAGGAAAUCAGCCUAUGAUCGGCCGUCGA